UACGGAAGGGGCAAGCGUUGUUCGGAGUCAUUGGGCGUAAAGGGCGCGCAGGUGGCUCUGUAUGUCUGCCGUGAAAGCAUACAGCUCAACUGUAUUGUGUCGGUAGAAACUGCAGGACUUGAGGCUGGGAGGGGCUGGUGGAAUUCCCUGUGUAGCGGUGAAAUGCGUAGAUAUCGAGAGGAACACCUGCGGCGAAGGCGGGUUGCUGGGCUGAUACUGACGCUGAGGCGCGAAAGCCAGGGGAGCGAACGGG
rnacentral:rRNA from 1 species